rnacentral:tRNA from 1 species
GGGCGGGUCGCAUAGUCGGCCUAGUGCGGCGGUUUGCUAAACCGCUAGAGGAGCAAUCCUCUCGAGGGUUCGAAUCCCUCCCCGCCCGCCA